UCCUGGAGGCCAGAGCUGUGUCAGUCCUGUUUCAUCUCCAGUGCUUGACAUGAAGUCAAUGCUCAGGAAAUAUUUUUGUUGUUGUUGAAUAAGUGAGUCACCAACUCUAACUCCAUAGUGCAGGUGCGAAAACCAAAGCCCAGAGAAAACAAGGAACUGUUUCAAGUCAUCCAAGGCAACGGAUGACAAAGGUGAACCAAUGAUGAGCACUACCUUUUGUUGAGCAUUUACUAUAGGCCAGGGCAUGAUGUUCAGUUAUUUUAUUAGCUUCUUGAGUCAUCAUAAAGCUGUAGGAUUAGGGAUUAUGAUUACCCAGGAUUACAGACAAAGAGAAGAAGUCUCAGGGAGACAUUUCUCUGGAAAGGAGGGGACUCAUCUGCAUGACCAGGGAGGAGAGAACACAAGGGAAUCUGACCAGGGCUCAGGCUGCAGAGGACUUUGGAUUCAGAAUGUUCCCCAUCUUCUUUGAAAUGCCAGAUGAAGCCAGAGCAGGAGUCCCAGGGGACGAAGAGCUGAAAGAAAGAUGGUGGCAAAAGGACCAGAGAGUGGAGGAACCCCUCAAGGAAAUGGAUUGACCCACAGUAAAAUGGCAUCUUCUACUGUGAGAAAGAGAGUCUAGAAGGAGGUCGAUGGACCAGGGGUUAACCUGACCCGGUUGGAGGUAGAGACGCUGACUGCGGUGAGAAGGGAACCUGGCGCUUUUCAAGGAGGAAUUCUGU